rnacentral:rRNA from 1 species
UACGGGGGGGGCAAGUGUUCUUCGGAAUGACUGGGCGUAAAGGGCUCGUAGGCGGCCUGUUGCGUCCGCUGUGAAAGCCCGGGGCUUAACCCCGGGUCGGCAGUGGAUACGGGCAGGCUAGAGGUAGGUAGGGGAGAAUGGAAUUCCCGGUGUAGCGGUGAAAUGCGCAGAUAUCGGGAGGAACACCGGUGGCGAAGGCGGUUCUCUGGGCCUUACCUGACGCUGAGGAGCGAAAGCGUGGGGAGCGAACAGG